rnacentral:piRNA from 1 species
UGAGUGUUCACAUCUUCAGUGGC